GUGUCAUGUGUGUGAAAUCCUUCCCUUCCCAAUGAGGUUAUAAAGGUAUUUGUUUAUAUAUUUGCAAAAAGCUUUAGGUUUGUUUUCUACAUUUACAUCUUUAAUUCAUGUGGAUUUUAUAUGUGCACACUGAGAAAAAUGACUACUUUUGAAAGUAGCCCGAUUUUCUAACAAGCCACAUGCCCACAGAACUGAAGCUUGAUAAACUUAUGAUUUGUACAAUGAAAUGCACCUGCUGCCUGGUGACCAACUCUUCUUUCUUGCCCUCCCAGCCCCAUUUUCCUUCCCUGCUAUAUACACCCCUAAAUUUAGUUGGAGGCAGGAAGAAGAAACAGAUUUGAGGUUUUGCUCCAAUCUCUCUGGCUGGCGUCAUCCAAAUGAAACCUUCCUCCCUGGCAAUACUCAUCUCAGGGAUUGAUUUUCCAUGCCCUGGUGAGCAGUGGAAGCUAGACUGAACCCCUGGAAUUUGGCAAGAAUUUUAUAUUUCCCCAUAUGGGUAAGCCAUGCAUCCUGAAUUAUUUAGCAUCGCUUGUUGACUAGGUCUUUCUCUCCCGCUGGUCUUGAUGCCACCUUCUGAGAUUGAGGCUAUGUUCUCAGCUCUACAGAUGGGAGACAGGGAGAGAGGCUUGGUAAGAGUUGCCUUGCAUCCGUUCCACAAAUCACCCUCUUAGUGUCAAAUCUCAUUUCUCUGUGUAGCUGCUCCAUGCAGAGGGGUGUUAGGGGAGUGAGUGCAUUCCUAGUAAAUGGGUCUCACCUGUGCUCUGAGCCAUGGAUUCCUCUACUGGGAUAUGUUUGUUAAUGUGAUCCUGUCUUCCUUCUGUCUUGCAGAAAUUUGUCAAAAUCUUGGUCUGUGGCUUCCUCCUUUGCUUUUCGGUGUCGUAUAAACAUAGUUCCUUUUGGGUUUCUUUACUCUUAUUUCAAUCAUUUUAAAGGAAGAAAGGGGAUUUAAUUAUAUCUGCUUUGUUCUUCCUCUUAAAUAUUAUGUAAAUUAUCAAUUUGCAUGCUGUUGUCAAUAUUUAAUCAUAAGGGAAACAGUUACUUCCAAUUUUUCACUGUUACAAAUAGGAGAGCAACAAUUAAUACUGAUUUCAAACUUGCUUUUGGUUUUUAGGACAUCUUCACUAUGUAUUUUGCCUGAUUUUUGUAAUUUGUUUGAUCUCCUAACAUACUAAAUAUAUUAACAUAGGAAAUUUGUUGCAAAUAUUUUACCAGAUUUUGUUUUCCUUUUAUUUCUGCUUUAUAUUUAAGUGUAUGUUUAUUAUACAGUAAAACUAUAUUUUCCUUCUAAUUAUUUUUUGGCUUUUAUUGCUUUUAUUCUAAUGAUGAUAUUUUUGUUGAGAUAAUAAUUAUUUAUCUCCAUUUUCUUAGCUUCUAUUAUACAGUAUUAUCUUUUUUCUAUUUUUCUUAGUUUCUAUAACACACAAUAUUUUCUUUUUUCUAUUUUUCUGUUUAGCUACUUAAAUACAUCUGAGAUUGGGGUAUGAUAUGUGGUGAGAAUAUUAAUUUAUAUAAUAAAUGACAUUGGAAACCUUAGCUAGCUUCUUGAAAAAUAUUGGCCAUUCCUUAUUCUACUAAUUUGUGGUAUUCUCUUAAUUUAUAUUAAUUUAUUUCUAUAACUAUCUCAUCAUAAAAUGUGCAGAAUAACAAGUAACAAUUUAGAAUGCCAAUUUGUGCAGAUGAACUUCGGUUAUAAUGAAACACAGAUAACUCACAAUACAGAGAUGAUGGCUUUGCAAGUUUAAACAGGAGUGUUGAUGACCAGAUCUCUGUCUGAAUUUGUUUUAGGGAAGCUGUACCAGGUUAUCUUUUUCUGACAAAGGACUAACUUCUUGGGAGUUUGUGUCACCUCUUCUGUUGAAGUACCACUGGGAUGCUUCAGGAUUUUCAUGUCAGAGAGGCUAACAAUGAGAACACAUGGACACAGGAAGGGGAACGCCACACUCUGGGG
rnacentral:lncRNA from 10 species